UACCGGCUUUCCACCAGCCGGCGCGGGCUACCGAAGAGGCUUGUCCUUCAUUGCCAGGCGUGCGGACGGGAAAUCCCAUCCAAUCCACGGCAGCACAGUUCGGGUUCGAUUUUUCGGCCUUGUCGCGCCUCCAUCGUGCGGCACAGACCGGAGCAUCUC
rfam:Afipia sp. P52-10 contig000003, whole genome shotgun sequence.